GGGGCCCGCACAAGCGUGGAGCAUGUGGUUAAUUGAGCAACGCGCAGAACCUUACCAGGAUUUGACAUGGGGAGGACCGGUACAGAGAUGUAUUUUUCCCGCAAGGGACCUUCCGCACAGGUGCUGCAUGGCUGUCGUCAGCUCGUGUCGUGAGAUGUUGGGUUAAGUCCCGCAACGAGCGCAACCCUCGCCUUUAGUUGCCAUCAUUUAGUUGGGCACUCUAGAGGAACUGCUGGUGACAAGCCGGAGGAAGGUGGGGAUGACGUCAAGUCCUCAUGGCCCUUAUGUCCUGGGCUACACACGCGCUACAAUGGUGGUGACAGUGGGAAGCUAGGCGGUGACGCCGUGCUGAUCUCUAAAAGCCAUCUCAGUUCGGAUUGUACUCUGCAACUCGAGUACAUGAAGGUGGAAUCGCUAGUAAUCGUGGAUCAGCAUGCCACGGUGAAUACGUUCCCGGGCCUUGUACACUCCGC
rnacentral:rRNA from 1 species